rnacentral:rRNA from 1 species
GUAGUUGAAUUUUAGCCCUGGCUGGGUGGUCCACCAAUGGAUGGUACUGCUCUGGCUGGGGUUCACUUUCUGGUGAGCCGGUAUGCUCUUCACUGGGUGUGCCGAGGAACCAGGACUUUUACUUUGAAAAAAUUAGAGUGUUUAAAGCAGGCCUAUGCUUGAAUACAUUAGCAUGGAAUAAUAGAAUAGGACUUUGGUUCUAUUUUGUUGGUUUCUAGGACCGAAGUAAUGAUUAAUAGGGAUAGUUGGGGGCAUUAGUAUUUAGUAGCUAGAGGCGAAAUUCUUGGAUUUAUAAAAGACUAACUUCUGCGAAAGCAUUUGCCAAGGAUGUUUUCAUUAAUCAAGAACGAAAGUUAGGGGAUCGAAGACGAUCAGAUACCGUCGUAGUCUUAACCAUAAACUAUGCCGACUAGGGAUCAGACGAUGUUACUUUACUGACUCGUUUGGCACCUUAUGAGAAAUCAAAGUUUUUGGGUUCCGGGGGGAGUAUGGUCGCAAGGCUGAAACUUAAAGGAAUUGACGGAAGGGCACCACCAGGAGUGGAGCCUGCGGCUUAAUUUGACUCAACACGGGGAAACUCACCAGGUCCAGACAUAGUAAGGAUUGACAGAUUGAGAGCUCUUUCUUGAUUCUAUGGGUGGUGGUGCAUGGCCGUUCUUAGUUGGUGGAGUGAUUUGUCUGCUUAAUUGCGUUAACGAACGAGACCUUAACCUGCUAAAUAGUUAUGCCAACUUUUGUUGGUAGUCAACUUCUUAGAGGGACUGUCGGCGAUUAGCCGAUGGAAGUUUUAGGCAAUAACAGGUCUGUUAUGCCCUUAGAUGUCCUGGGCCGCACGCGCGCUACACUGAUGAAGUCAACGAGUUUAUAACCUUGGCCGGAAGGU